rnacentral:lncRNA from 1 species
AGAUUGCGCCCAGCCAAAAUCAACCGCCAGGGACACUUGGCAGGCAGCCCAGCAUCAGCGCCCAGCCAAGCAAGGAAAGCGCACGCGCAGAAUCAAAGGAGGAGCCGGUGGGCUCUUCCAUAGCGAUCCGGCAAGGAAGGACACCAGCGGCCAGGAUGCAGCAGGCCAAAGGAUGGACGCACAGAAGACAGUCAUGGCAGCAGUCCGUGGG